UACGUAGGGUGCAAGCGUUAAUCGGAAUUACUGGGCGUAAAGCGUGCGCAGGCGGUUGUGCAAGACCGAUGUGAAAUCCCCGGGCUUAACCUGGGAAUGGCAUUGGUGACUGCACGGCUAGAGUGUGUCAGAGGGGGGUAGAAUUCCACGUGUAGCAGUGAAAUGCGUAGAGAUGUGGAGGAAUACCGAUGGCGAAGGCAGCCCCCUGGGUUAACACUGACGCUCAGGCACGAAAGCGUGGGGAGCAAACAGG
rnacentral:rRNA from 1 species